rnacentral:misc_RNA from 1 species
AAGUCGUAACAAGGUUUCCGUAGGUGAACCUGCGGAAGGAUCAUUAAUGAAAUGAUUUUUUGGGGUUUUUUAACCUCAAGAAAUAAUUCACCUCUUGUGCACUGUUAUAAGAUAUACUUUGGUUAGAGCUUUGAUUUCAUUUAUUGAAAUCAACUUCUUGCUGACUCUAUCCUUUCUGAGGACAGUCGGCUAUGAAGCGGCCUACCAAGGUUUUUUAUCAAACACAUUUAAUUUAUCUGACCUAAAAUCAUUAUAAUUAAAUCAUAACUUUCAACAACGGAUCUCUUGGCUCUC